UGCAAGUCGAGCGGACAGAUGGGAGCUUGCUCCCUGAUGUUAGCGGCGGACGGGUGAGUAACACGUGGGUAACCUGCCUGUAAGACUGGGAUAACUCCGGGAAACCGGGGCUAAUACCGGAUGCUUGUUUGAACCGCAUGGUUCAAACAUAAAAGGUGGCUUCGGCUACCACUUACAGAUGGACCCGCGGCGCAUUAGCUAGUUGGUGAGGUAACGGCUCACCAAGGCAACGAUGCGUAGCCGACCUGAGAGGGUGAUCGGCCACACUGGGACUGAGACACGGCCCAGACUCCUACGGGAGGCAGCAGUAGGGAAUCUUCCGCAAUGGACGAAAGUCUGACGGAGCAACGCCGCGUGAGUGAUGAAGGUUUUCGGAUCGUAAAGCUCUGUUGUUAGGGAAGAACAAGUACCGUUCGAAUAGGGCGGUACCUUGACGGUACCUAACCAGAAAGCCACGGCUAACUACGUGCCAGCAGCCGCGGUAAUACGUAGGUGGCAAGCGUUGUCCGGAAUUAUUGGGCGUAAAGGGCUCGCAGGCGGUUCCUUAAGUCUGAUGUGAAAGCCCCCGGCUCAACCGGGGAGGGUCAUUGGAAACUGGGGAACUUGAGUGCAGAAGAGGAGAGUGGAAUUCCACGUGUAGCGGUGAAAUGCGUAGAGAUGUGGAGGAACACCAGUGGCGAAGGCGACUCUCUGGUCUGUAACUGACGCUGAGGAGCGAAAGCGUGGGGAGCGAACAGGAUUAGAUACCCUGGUAGUCCACGCCGUAAACGAUGAGUGCUAAGUGUUAGGGGGUUUCCGCCCCUUACUGCUGCAGCUAACGCAUUAAGCACUCCGCCUGGGGAGUACGGUCGCAAGACUGAAACUCAAAGGAAUUGACGGGGGCCCGCAC
rnacentral:rRNA from 1 species